rnacentral:rRNA from 1 species
CCUACGGGGAGCAGCAGUGGGGAAUAUUGGGCAAUGGGCGCAAGCCUGACCCAGCACCGCCGCGUGAAGGAAGAAGGCUUUCGGGUUGUAAACUUCUUUUGUCAGGGACGAAGCAAGUGACGGUACCUGACGAAUAAGCCACGGCUAACUACGGGCCAGCAGCCGCGGUAAUGCGUAGGUGGCAAGCGUUAUCCGGAUUUACUGGGUGUAAAGGGCGUGUAGGCGGGGAAGCAAGUCAGAUGUGAAAACCACGGGCUCAACCUGUGGCCUGCAUUUGAAACUGUUUUUCUUGAGUACUGGAGAGGCAGACGGAAUUCCUAGUGUAGCGGUGAAAUGCGUAGAUAUUAGGAGGAACACCAGUGGCGAAGGCGGUCUGCUGGACAGCAACUGACGCUGAGGCGCGAAAGCGUGGGGAGCAAACAGGAUUAGAUACCCCAGUAGUC